AAUAAAGUGCCUGACAAAAGGAUUAUCUUGAUAGGAUAAAUUAUACACAUUUUAUGUGUCUUUAUUA
rnacentral:tRNA from 1 species